UUUAAAUUUAGCCGAGUAGCAUGGUUUAUAUUUAGAACAUGGAAAUUUGCUUCCAAAUCGUGGAAUACAGACGAGGGGAAGUCGUGUUUGAAAUCGAGCAAUUGAGAGAUGGGCAUAAUAAACUAAGAGAUCUGACUGUGUAUAAAGUCUGCAUUGAGAGUCAAGUAUCAAUUUUCACAUUAUCACACAGGUUAGGUUGUUCUGCUAUAACUGCCACUGCUUUCGUAACUUCCUUUUUUCUGCGUGAUGGUGAAACACACUGGGUACCCACUCCAUCGGUAACAAUUAUUAAUUAGGUGGAAAAGUAAACAAACAACAUGAAGCUACUUUUGAUGGUGCUAUUCUUCUCAAAGGUCAGCAAUGGGAAAAUCAUCCAUACAGUAGGGGACGAACCAUCACCAGAGGCAUCUGUAAGUAACUCUACACACGAGACUGGAAACGUGAGUGUGAUAGAGCAUGUGUUCAACAUCUCAAACGAUAACUCAUCGUAUAACACGAACGAAAGACAGGAAAUGAGAAAUAUAACAGUUUCUGAGACCGAGCGUGUCCAUGAACUGCCUGGAUACGUCAUUGCUAUCAUUGUAUCCCUGGUUGUUGUUGUUUUUAUUUGUAUUGUGGCUGUGUUGUUUUGCUACAGGAAUAAACUAAACACCUGCGAGUGUCAAAACAAUUUCUCUGUCUGUACAUGUCUGGUCCUUUCUGAAACAUCGGAGCCAGCGGAGCAGGAUGUGAUCUCCGGUGAAAGUGACAAAAUGAUGCCAGGAGAGCAAACAUGAAAUCAUAAAGUGACGUUUUCUCCCACAAUGAUAUUAAGGAUACUUAAUAUAUGUUUUAUGUGUUGAUAUUUCCUGAUAUUUAGUGUUUAUUGUAAGGAAUUAUUUCCAGUGAUACUUCUUUUACAGCCUGAGUUUGUAGGAAUUAAAUAUAAAGUUUGCUGUCUGUCGUGGAUAAUUAAUAAGUACAUUUAUAAAGAACGAAUUAUCUAAAAUUAAAUUUUGGUAUUGAGAAACACCUAUUUUAUCGAAGAAAUUCUUCUUUAACAUAAUAUAUAAGGAGCAGUGUAACAAAAAUACUUUUUUAUUUGUAUUUCAUUUUUCACAGAACACAUAUUCUGUCCUCAAAUGCUUCGCAUUUAUAUCGACCAGUUUCCAUUCUCCAUAUCUUAACAUGGCCAUAGUUGAUAUCACGUUUGGGGGGAGGGUGUAAUUCUACAACUUUUUCGACACUGUUUUGAGUCUUAAAGAGCGAGUAAGUUCUGAGUUAGGGAAUAUUGGGAAUAUUUUGGACCCAAUGAAUCGAGGAUUGCUGACGUAAUUUGGCGUAUUGCAAAAAAUAGAAAAUACUAUAGUUGAAUCAAUUUUCAUCACUGUAAUAUGCUGAAUGGGAUGAAUAUUUCUGUCACAAUACUUCCGUUUAUUACUGGAUAUUAUGUGUACAUGUAUAUAUGUUAAAUAAUCUAAUACUGUACUACCAUUAAUUAGUCAUCUUCUUUCAAACAUUUCCUUUUGAUAUUAAUCAUAACUAUGUCAAUAUAAAAUAUAUAUUUUUAAAAA